rnacentral:lncRNA from 1 species
CUCCGGGCGUUGGGGGGGGGGGUCGCGCCCCCUUACACCCCAUUCCCAGCGGCCAGGCCGGGAGGGGGCGGGGCCCAGAUUCUUGGGGAAGGGCGGGCCUCAGGAGUCUUUCCAGCCCCCCGACCCGGGCCGACCUCCGGCUGUCUGCCCCCUCCCGCCGCCGCGCGGAGCCCCCACCUGUUCCCAAGGCAGCUCUGGGCCGCCGGGGCCCCGCCGGGGGCGGGGUGUCGCGGCCGCGCGGGGUCAGUGCGCCGCAGCCGGCCCUGGCUGGAACAAAGUGCGCCGGCCUGGGCCCGGCUCCUCCCGGCGCCCGGCGCGUCUCCGGCGGGCAGUUUGCAAACACAAAGUGAGCCAGUGAGAAGGCGAGAGAGUGCGCGAGCCGGGGAGUUGGUCUGCUCGCCGGCCCAGCCCCCACCCGCGUCCCCGGCUCGGCCCGCCACCUACCUGUCCGGCCCGGCCGCUCCGUGCGGGCUCCGGCCCGUCAGCCCGCGCGGGGCAUGGGGCUCGCUCGGGUCGCAGCCCGGGCCCGCCGCCGCCCGCUGGGGCUGCCCCUCCGCGCCGCCCAGCGCCGCGCCGCUCCCGGGCGUCCUCCCUCCGCGCCGCGCCGCGCCGGCCGCCGCGCGCCCUAGCUCCGCCGGGGCAUCGCACUUUGUGGGCAGCUCGGCUCGCUCCGGCUGGGCUCCUCCUUCCCGAUCCUCCCGCGACGCUCGUUCGCUCGCUCCGGCUCCGGAGCUCCGGGACCCCGGCGUCCCCGCCCCCGGCCCAGCCCUGGUUCCGGCCCGGGCUCCUCCCCGCCGCGCCGCCGCCUGCGCCGCGCCCUCCUCGCGGGCUGGGGGCUCCGUCCCGGCCGCCGGCCGCGCUGUCCGGUCCGCAGGGGCGGCCGGCUCCGGACUCCGAGGGGCUGCGACUGAGCCCGGGCUGCGAGUGGCUGCGAGCGGGCGGCGCGCGGGCGGGGCGGGAGGAGGCGGGGGAGGAGGGGUGGAGGGGAAGGAGGGAGCGCGCGGAGAGCGGGAGGAGGGAGCGAGCGAGCGGCGGAGGGAGGGCAGACCAACUUCUAGCGCUACCAUAAUUCGCCUAAAGCAGGUGCAGCCACUUCCACCCUGCGAGGCAGCCAGCCGUGAGCGAGGGAAGACCACGUGGACCAAACUUCAGGGGAAGAAAAGUGGGGGUCUGGGCACAAGACAUGGGGCUGCGGACCUGAAAAAGGCGGGUGGUGGAGAGGCCGCAGGGAUGCCCCCUGGCCUCGCGAAGCCUAUGGCGCCCUUUGCAAGCCCUGGCCUUUCCCUGGAGUCUGGAGCCCUGCCAAGGUGA